AUUAACAAUAUAAUUGAGCAACAAGUAUGAUUAAUAAAAUAAAUAUUAAAAAGCAAACCCCUCUCUCCUUCUAUUUCUCAUGUUAUAAUAGUCCUUGGGGAAAGCACGCGAAUCUCCCUCUCCACAACAUGAGAAGAAAUCACCUCUUGAGCCUCUGAACGAAAGGUGAGGUUUUAGCAUCUUCCUCAGCGAGGUCAAGAGAGAACUUGGCGGUGAGGGUUCCGGUUAUAGCGAAUCCAACCAGGAACGCCCAGUUCCGGUUCCAUUCUCGCUCAAAAAAAAAAUCGGCCACGGAUUGAACUUACCUUAUUUCUGAUUUUCUCUUUCCUUCUCCAAUUGCUCUCUCUCUCUCUCUCUCUCUCUCUCUCUCUCUCUCUCUCUCUCUCUCUUACAUAGCUUUAUAUUUGUUUUCUGAGUUAAAGGUUUAAUUUUCGAGUGAUAUAAUUAUCUUUUUUCUCUUUCAGUAAAUCAAUUGCUUCUGUGCAUCAAAUCCCAAUUUCAGUUCAGCUGCCGGAGUAGGUUUUUUGAGUUCAGGUAAGUUUGCUUUGUGUAUAAUUUGACAUUUGUAUUGUUAUGAAUUUCUGAUUUUAGUUUGGGAAUAUAUUUUUUUAUUUUAUUACUAUUUAUUGUUUCUUAUGACAAGGUCUUAUGCUAAUGUAAAAAAUUUAUAACAAUACGUUGCAAAGUUCACAUUCUAUCAGCAGCUAAUACAUAUGGAGGCGUGGAUUUAAUUUAUGGGAUGGUUUCGGGUUCCCUGUAAUCUUUUGAGAUUGUUUUGUUUAUGGCAUUUUUAAAUGGGCUUGAUUUUUGGUUUGGAAUGCAUUUGAUUGUGGUUUGGGUGAUACUGUGGUGGAGAUGCAGAUGGAGGUGUGGGUACUUUGUCUCCGUUAAAAGGAAAUUGCAGGUUUAUGGUUUGGUUUAAACAAUUGUGUGGCUGUGUGUUCGCUUUAGGUGUCAGUGUCGUGAUGCAAAGGAGACUGUGUUUCUAGGUUUAAAUUCUGUGUUUCUAUGUACAUAAUUGGGUGAUUUCUUAAUAUUUCUAUUAGGUUAUUUCAGUUUGUUUUCUGUUUGAUUUGAGAGCUGCGCUUGGCAUGAUUGUUUUCUUUAAACUUGGUUGAUUUAGGUUUGGCCAGAAGGUGCUGGCAAUGGCUACAGCGACAUAUCCACCACCACCGCCGUAUUAUAAGCUCUACAAAGAUUACUUGCAAGAUCCCAAAUCAGCUCCGGAGCCGCCCUCUCCGAUUUAAGGGACAUGCAUUUGUUAUGGUGACAAUUACACUA
rnacentral:lncRNA from 1 species